rnacentral:piRNA from 1 species
GCAUUCGCUGUAAGCUCUAAGAC